AGACUGGGGGUUGAGCCUACAACCUAGGCAGGUGCCCUGAUUGGAAAUCAAACCGUGACCUGGUUCAUAGGUCAAUGCUCAACCACUGAGCCAUGCCAGCCAGACUGUAAUGGUUUUUAUUGAAGUAGUGUUAAGAAGCACAGCUUUUUAAAAAAACAACUUUUAUUGAAGUAUCAAAUAUACAUAUAGAAAAGUGCAUAUAACCUGAUGGAUUUUCGUUAAACAUACUCUGAUAAACAAACACCAAGAUAUAAAACAAGAACAUUACUAGUAUGACAAAAGACCCCCUCAUGAGAAGUGCUUUUUCUUUUAAUGUAAUAUCAAGGUGAAAUAAGUGUAAAAAUUUUGGAAUGUAGCAGUUCAGUGGUAUAUAUUCACUUUAUUAAGUUGAGGAAAAAUAGGAAAGCACAAAUUAAAAGCUAUUUUAUAUGAUAUUGAAUUAGUUAUAGUUUAGUUUAUAGAAUGACUGAUAACCCAUAAAACAAGUUAUAGUUUUAUAGGGGCUGUACUUGUAGCUAGAGAACCAGGGAUUUGAAAUUAACAUGUAAGUGAUUUGAGUCAGUUUGAGUCACUAGUCAGAAAGGUUCAAAUUAAUAUUUUUCCUUUAAAAGCUACAAUAUUCUUGCAUUUGAAUAGCAUCCAAUUCUAUUAAUCUAACACUGUCACUAAUUUUAUAUGUAUACUUAAUAGCUAAAGUAAACCAUUUCCAGUUUAACAGCUUAAUCAUAGGGAUUUGGGAAACAUUUUUGCUAUGAUAUAUAUGGAGUUUCAAAACUAUUUUGAAAAAUAAAUGCUUAAAAUUCAGAAAAUUGAUAGUACAAGGCUAAUGAGACUAAGAUGCUGACUUUGGUGGCAGGUUUGAUUCCUGAUUAAGGCACAUAACUGGGUUACGGGUUCAAUCCUCAAUUGGGGCUAAUGUGGGAGGCAGCCCAACCAUGUUUCUCUCAUAUCUCUCUCUCU